GAGGAUGUAGCUCAGUCAGUAGAGCACUUGCCUGGUGUGCAAUACCUUGGGUUCUAUUCCCAGCCCCA
rfam:Mus musculus chromosome 1, GRC primary reference assembly.